rnacentral:rRNA from 1 species
CCUACGGGGGGCUGCAGUGGGGAAUAUUGGACAAUGGGCGAAAGCCUGAUCCAGCCAUGCCGCGUGAGUGAUGAAGGCCCUAGGGUUGUAAAGCUCUUUCAACGGUGAAGAUAAUGACGGUAACCGUAGAAGAAGCCCCGGCUAACUUCGUGCCAGCAGCCGCGGUAAUACGAAGGGGGCUAGCGUUGUUCGGAAUUACUGGGCGUAAAGCGCACGUAGGCGGAUUGUUAAGUGAGGGGUGAAAUCCCAGGGCUCAACCCUGGAACUGCCUUUCAUACUGGCAAUCUAGAGUCCGGAAGAGGUGAGUGGAAUUCCGAGUGUAGAGGUGAAAUUCGUAGAUAUUCGGAGGAACACCAGUGGCGAAGGCGGCUCACUGGUCCGGUACUGACGCUGAGGUGCGAAAGCGUGGGGAGCAAACAGGAUUAGAUACCCCGGUAGUC